UUUUCCCCUGGAGUUCCCUUGAGCACUUCAUUGGGGUUAUCCUGUACCCUACUGAAGUGUUUGGGGGAACUCUGGGUGCCAC
rnacentral:pre_miRNA from 1 species